rnacentral:rRNA from 1 species
AACGAACGCUGGCGGCAUGCCUAACACAUGCAAGUCGAACGAGACCUUCGGGUCUAGUGGCGCACGGGUGCGUAACGCGUGGGAACCUGCCCUUAGGUUCGGAAUAACUCCCCGAAAGGGGUGCUAAUACCGGAUAAUGUCUUCGGACCAAAGAUUUAUCGCCUUUGGAUGGGCCCGCGUUGGAUUAGCUAGUUGGUAGGGUAAAAGCCUACCGAGGCGACGAUCCAUAGCUGGUCUGAGAGGAUGAUCAGCCACACUGGGACUGAGACACGGCCCAGACUCCUACGGGAGGCAGCAGUGGGGAAUAUUGGACAAUGGGCGAAAGCCUGAUCCAGCAAUGCCGCGUGAGUGAUGAAGGCCUUAGGGUUGUAAAGCUCUUUUACCCGGGAUGAUAAUGACAGUACCGGGAGAAUAAGCUCCGGCUAACUCCGU